GCGAGUGUAAGCAGACGCCAUCUUCACUGUCACUGGCACUGGCAUCGGCCACGUCCUUAAUUAAUCGGAGUGUGUCUUGCUGUUGAUACAACCAUCGCAAUAAUUUUGCUUCGAUAUUGAAUAUAAGGAUAUAUUGAGGAUAACUGCAAGAUAAUAACAAAAUGCCUCUAAGACUAGACAUUAAGCGGAAGUUAACUGCCAGAUCAGACAGAGUGAAGAGCGUAGAUCUUCAUCCAACAGAACCAUGGAUGUUAUGCUCUUUAUAUCAGGGCAAUGUCAAUAUCUGGAAUCAUGAGACGCAAACGUUGGUGAAAACAUUUGAAGUAUGUGAUUUGCCAGUAAGAGCUGCUAAAUUUGUGCCUCGCAAGAAUUGGGUGAUUACUGGCUCUGAUGACAUGCAAAUCAGAGUGUUUAAUUACAACACUCUGGAACGUGUUCAGACAUUCGAAGCACACAGUGAUUAUGUUAGAUGUAUAGCGGUACACCCAACACAACCGUUCAUUCUCACUAGCAGCGAUGAUAUGUGGAUCAAAUUGUGGAACUGGGAAAAGUCUUGGAUCUGCCAACAAAUGUUUGAAGGGCACACACAUUAUGUCAUGCAAAUUGUAUUUAAUCCAAAGGACAACAACACUUUCGCCAGUGCGUCUCUGGACAGAACUGUCAAAGUAUGGCAACUUGGCUCACCUACGGCUAAUUUCACGUUAGAAGGUCACGAGAAGGGCGUGAAUUGCGUGGAUUACUAUCAUGGUGGUGACAAGCCUUACCUGAUAUCGGGAGCAGACGACAAAUGUGUCAAGAUAUGGGACUAUCAAAACAAGACCUGCGUUCAGACGUUGGAAGGCCAUACGCAGAACAUUUCCGCGGUGUGUUUCCAUCCGGAAUUGCCGAUCGUGCUCACCGGUUCGGAGGACGGUACCGUCAGGGUAUGGCACGCCGGAACAUACCGGCUGGAGUCCUCGCUCAACUACGGCUUCGAGCGAGUGUGGACCAUCGCGUGCAUGCGAGGCUCGAACAACGUCGCCAUCGGCUACGACGAAGGUAGCGUCAUGGUUAAAGUUGGCAGAGAAGAACCUGCGGUGUCGAUGGACUCGUUGGGCGGCAAGGUCGUAUGGGCGAGACACAGCGAGAUUCAGCAGGUGAACCUGAAGGCAUUGGGCGAGGGGGUUCAGGACGGAGAGCGCUUGCCGUUGGCGGUCAAGGACAUGGGCGCCUGUGAGAUAUAUCCGCAGACUAUACAGCACAAUCCGAACGGGAGAUUCCUGGUGGUCUGCGGCGACGGCGAAUACAUCAUCUACACGUCCAUGGCGUUGAGGAACAAGGCGUUCGGACAGGCGUCAGAAUUCGUAUGGUCGGCGGAUUCGAGUCAGUAUGCAGUAAGGGAGAGUAACACCACGGUGAAGGUUUUCAAGAACUUCAAGGAGAAGAAGAGCUUUAAGCCGGAUUUAGGAGCAGAUGGCAUCUUCGGUGGAUUCUUGCUCGGUGUAUCAUCUGGCUCUGGUCUUUCCUUCUACGACUGGGAUACGUUAAAGUUGAUUCGUCGUAUAGACAUACAACCUAUGCAUGUAUAUUGGGCUGAGAACGGCUCAUUAGUAGCGCUGGCUACGUUAGAUCAGUAUUUUAUAUUAAAGUAUUAUGCAGAAGUUGUUGCCGUUGUCGAGGAAAACUAUGAGGACAUCGAAAAUGCAUUCCAAAUGUUAUCGGAGGUAAACGAAGUGGUGAAAACCGGUUUAUGGAUUGGCGAUUGUUUUAUCUAUACUAAUAGCGUCAAUCGCGUUAAUUAUUAUGUCGGCGGCCAGGUAGUCACGGUCUCCCAUCUAGACAGACCGAUGUACCUGCUGGGAUACGUGCCAAGAGACAACAGAUUAUAUUUAUGCGAUAAAGAACUGUCCAUUGUUUCGUAUUCUUUAUUAUUGUCAGUCUUAGAGUACCAAACUGCUGUCAUGCGAAUGGAUUUCAGAACCGCCGAUAGAGUGUUACCGACCAUUCCUAGAGAGCACCGCACGAGAGUGGCUCAUUUCUUAGAAAAACAGGGUUUCAAAGAGCAAGCAUUAGCAGUGUCGACAGAUCCUGAGCACAGAUUUGAAUUAGCGCUCGCACUGGGAAAUCUAGUAGCCGCACAUGUGCUCGCCAAGGAAGCGAACAGUCAGCAAAAGUGGCGGCAGUUGGCUUCUCUUGCCACGCAGCAGGGCAAGCUCUCUUUGGCGAAAGAGUGUUUGUAUCAAGCGCAAGAUUUCGGUGGCCUAUUGUUGUCAGCCACUAGCACAGGAAACACUGAUAUGGUCCUGAAACUCGGCUUGGUCGCAGAGGAAAAGGGAAAGAACAACAUCUCCUUUCUGGCGAAUUUUAUAUUGGGUAAUGUGGACAAAUGCCUGGACAUUUUAAUCAAAACUGACAGAAUUCCCGAGGCCGCGUUCUUCGCCAGAACGUACGCCCCUAGCCAUAUUUCCCACGUCGUUAACUUGUGGAAGGAAAAAUUGUCGGCGGUGAGCGAGAAAGCCGGACAGAGUUUGGCGGAUCCCGAACAGUAUGAGAAUCUAUUCCCUGGAUACAGAGAAGCCUUGAAAGUAGAACAGUUCUUACGCAAAGAGAGGGCGAAAAAGAUUCCAGCCUCAGCGUUUCGCAAUUUCACGCCUAAUACCGACCGGAAUCCUUUGGAGGAGAUGUUGGCCGCUGAAAAAUCAGGCGCAUUUCAAUAUAGCGAUGACCAAACGGAACGCCCGGGAAACGCAUCAGAGACUGAAACGGUGUCUGACAGAUUGGAAGAGCUCAUGAUAUCAAAGAAAGACAACGAUACAGUCACAACCGCGAAGCUCACAGCUACACCCGUACUCGAGAAAACGACGAAGCUCGCGAGUAGUUCAAGGCCUCUCACAGUGGACGACGACGACCUUGAUAUCGAUUUGGAAAUCGAUGAUAAUAUUGAUACCACUGAUGUCAACCUCGACGACGAUCUUCUCGAGGAGGAUUAACCGUCGAAAUAGCGUCGAGAAAUAAGUGAAGUUGCAGUCAUCAUACAAAUAUCUUUCAUUCUCCUUCUGCCAGUCAUUCCCCGCAAGAUGAAAGAAAGAAAGAAAGGAUGGCGAGAGAGUCAUUUAGAAUUGAGUUUUGAAGAGUCGCGAAAUCAUCUCUCGUUGUCUGCGCGCAAGUGUGUUUGUAUCACUGCAAGAACUAACGAAGAACAAAAUGUAAGCUUGCGAUAUAAGGAGGAGAAAUAGCGAGCGCACGAGGACAGUGGAGAUCCGCGAUCGUCUACCCACGCGUGGAUUUACGGGUGCUGCCGUCGUCGUCGUCGUCGUCGUCGUCGUCGUCGGUGGGCGAAGAACGAAAAGGAAAAAGAAGAGCAGGUGGAGGAAGGGAGAGCGGAGUUAGAACACGGAGAUGAAGAAGCAGAAGAAGAAAAAGAUAGCCGUGCGCCGUACUCGAAAAUAGAAACAGCCGCGUUGACACUCCGCUACAAAUUGUCCGCGUCAUGACGCCUCGUUUUAAAAGCCACGCGCUUCGCGUUGUCUCGCUUCUUCUCGAGGAGGGGGGAAGGGGAGAGGGGGAAGAAAAAACCACUGACCCAAAAACGACGCUGAUCGAUACGUUUCUUUUUUUGUUUUUCACACGUAACUGUUGUGUCUUAUUAAUAUAUUUCUUGUAUAUUGCUUUAAAAUAGCAUAAUUUUAUAUAUAAAAACUUCAAUCUGCCGAUCUGUA